rnacentral:rRNA from 1 species
CAAUAGCGUAUAUUAAAGUUGUUGCGGUUAAAAAGCUCGUAGUUGGAUUUCUGCUGAGAACGACCGGUCCGCCCUCUGGGUGUGUAUCUGGCUCUUUCUUGGCAUCUUCUUGGUGAACGUUGCUGCACUUGACUGUGUGGAGCGCUACCCAGGACUUUUACUUUGAGGAAAUUAGAGUGUUUCAAGCAGGCAUACGCCUUGAAUACAUUAGCAUGGAAUAAUAAGAUAGGACCUCGGUUCUAUUUUGUUGGUUUCUAGAGCUGAGGUAAUGAUUAAUAGGGAUAGUUGGGGGCAUUCGUAUUUAACUGUCAGAGGUGAAAUUCUUGGAUUUGUUAAAGACAGACUACUGCGAAAGCAUUUGCCAAGGAUGUUUUCAUUGA